UGAUUGCCAAUUGUGUUCUUUUCUGCUUUGGAAUUUCCUUGUAAAUUGGGUGGAGCACUCUCUUUAUCUGCAUGUAUAUAUUUGCUUUUCAUCAGCAUAAUUUUUUAUGUUUUUGAGACAGACUCCCCCUGCUUUUACUACUGAAAAGUUAACAGAGCUACUGUUGGGAUUCAAAAUUAUCUAAAGGGGUCCAAUUUGGUGAAUGAUUAAAAAAAAUUAUUAGUUAAGAAAACCUGUGAGAACAUUAGGAUUCAAAGCAACAUAGAUAGACCUAGACAUUAUUAGGCCCUGCAUUUUCUUUAUGGUCCAUGUAUUUGAAUUGAUUGGAUAGAAGUAAUUAUUUGAAAUCAUGCAUUACUUCCGGCUUCGUCUUCUAUGUAAAUAUCUAUUUAUUGUUAAUAGUUCAAUCAAGCUGUUAAACUAUAGAAUAUUAACUGUGUUUUUGGGAUUCAAAUCACUCAUCCAAAUGGGGUCAUUUUGUCAAAAUGUUGAUGACCAAGCUGGUACCAGUAACUGCCUUAGAUUAAUGUACUAACGUGCUUCAUGAAGUUGGUCUGAGUGUUUGCAAGUCUUUACCUUUUGUUUUGUAAUUGGGUCCUUCUAAAUACACCCAGCAAAAAACGUAAUGCACCCAGAAAUUUUUUAUUCCCAGCAAAAUUUAAAUUCUUUAGAAAUGUCUAUGUACAUGGUACACCCAGCAAGAUUUCCCAUAAUACCCCUUAUUUUAUGUCUCCAGCAAAACUCAGCCAAAUCCAUCCCCUUUAACUACACCUAGGCUACCUAGCAAUUGUUUCUUUGUUGUUACGUUUACCCAGCGCCACCUUCUUUUUCUGGAUCUUUGUCUGGGAGGAUUUCUGUUCCUAGAAAGUGUAAUUGCUUAUUUCUAUAAUGAGCCGCGGCAGUGGUCCAUGUAGUCUCGAAGCUGGAGACAUUUUGUUUGCCACCAAGAAGAGUUCCCCUCUCAAGGUCAUUGUUUUGAGGUUGUCUUUAUUCUUCAGGCCAGGAUGAAACUAAAUCUAGGGCUUUUGAUGUUGUGAUAUUAAUCUUCUGAUUGAAAAAAAAAAAAAAAAACCACUGAUAUAUAUGUAUGCACAUAUAUACGUCUGUGUGUAGAUAGUAACUUCAUCAGUUUUGAUUUUGACUUAUGUGGAUACUUAGUUGGCUUACUAUUUGUGGCUUCAGUUAUAAAUACAUUGGAAUAUUCAUCUUCAUGGUAUCUAUAACGCUUUUCUUUGGGCUACCAGAGUCGGUAUAUAAGUUCCUUCUGCUUUCUGGUGGUUCAGAAAUAUUGCUCUGUUGAAUGGUUAAUGCCAUACAGAAGAGUUUGUAAAUAGAAAAUAGAAGACUCACAUAUGAAGGUUAUUAUGACUGGGGAGAAUAGCUUAAUUCUUGCCCUUUGAGAAAAGAUCAUGAACUUAGCGUGAAUGUUUUCAGGUUUUGGCAUUGAAUUGAUGAAUUCGAUGGGUGUAUGUUGAAUCAUAUUGGAUUUUCAUGGCCUUUUUUUCGUUAUUAUUUUUAAAUAUGGUGAACUUUAACAUCAUUUAAUGCCAAUCAAAUUGAUUAGGAUUUUUUCUGGAUA